rfam:Triticum aestivum genome assembly, contig: Triticum_aestivum_CS42_TGACv1_scaffold_374155_5AL
UUAAUACUCCCAUCAUCCGGAAAAGCUUGUCUCAAGCUUGUUUCUCAAAUGGAUGUAUCUAGCACUAAUUUGAUGCUAAAUACAUCCAUUUGAGGGACAAGCUUUUUCGGACGGAAGGAGUACAAC